AGAGAAAGAAGAGAUCAGUAUCGUCGCUUCCCCGAAUCGUUCUCCUCCGGCGUGAAUUUCGCAAAGGUUGUGCAUUUUUGGCAAGAAUGGCGGAGCAGGAACUGAACCAAUUGAGAGGGGUAGCAACGGCAGCAGUAGAUGCCUUCACUGACUUUAGGCACGCUCAGAUUUAGGAGUACAUUGAAGGAGAGAAUAAUUUCCAGAAUGUUGAGUUUGCCAUCAACAAACUGACAACCAUCCUUAAUAUCACCAAUCCUAAUCAUUAUAACGGACAGAUUCCUCCAGAGAAUUUGAACCAAGAUGAAUUGAACGAAGUGAGAGUUGUAGCAACAAAUGCACUCAAUUUUUUCAGAACUAGGAUUCCAUUAAUUUUAAACUCCAUCAAUGCGUUGAAUAAUAAUAUGCAUGACCUUCAGGCUGCCAUCAUCCUACUCAAUCUAAUCAACGCUGCUAUUACCAAUCCGGCUCUAAUUGCCCCGCCGCCGCCGCCUAAUGAUGUGUAGCAGCAGCUGAAAAUAGGAGGAUUACCACGAGAUGAUGGAGUCUAUCUUUAUUUAUUUUUGUUAGUAUAAAAAAAACAUUUUGGGCUAGCUUUUGUUUAUUUAUUUGUUUGCUUGCUUGAUGUGGACCUGGUACGGUUAAAUAAUGAAAAUAGAUCGAAGCGUUUAUUUAUUUUAUCCAUCUACUAAUGUAAUCUAGUAUACUAAUUUACAGGAGGAGGAUUUUAUAA